rnacentral:tRNA from 1 species
GGCUCCAUCGUCUAGUGGUUAGGACGUCGCGUUCUCAACGCGAUAACCCGGGUUCAACUCCCGGUGGAGUCACCA